GGGGGCGACGGGUUUCGACAGGGGUAGACGGGCUGGGUAACGCGAGCCGAGGCGCCGCUGGCCUCGUAAAAAGCGGCAAACUCACAAACGCCGAGAAUCAACUCGCGCUCGCUGCCUAAAUGGCAGCCAUCCGUCCGGUCCCAUUCCGGCGGGGCCGAAACGGGUGUGACCAAAGCCGGAUCACCUGAGGGGUUUGGGUCCGCGGACCCCCCGGGGACAUCUAGCGACCUGGCGCCAAGGGAUCCCUUCUGCGGGAGCCCGCGGCGCGAGAACUAGAACGCAGAAUACGCUCGUAGUGGGACCCGGUUUGUUGCCCUUGGACGGCGGUUCGACUCCGCCCGCCUCCACCA
rnacentral:tmRNA from 1 species